rnacentral:lncRNA from 1 species
GCAGCCCGGGCGGGCUUGGCCGGGAGACGCGGUGUGAGCUUGCUCCGCCUCCUGAACCCUUGACCUUGCGGAGGAGGAAGAAGUGAUGGCCAGGUUCCAGCCUACGGGGUGGAGAGAAUCGGUAAUUGCUCCUGCACCGAAAGCCAUUCGCUCCCGGAGAAGCAUGCCGCACGCCCAGGCCGGAGUGCAGGUCCUGGGCCAGGCCUUCGGAGGGGAGAGGCGGGCCUGCUCCUUCCUCCUCGUGCCGCCCUGUGUGGACCGGCGAUGCCCCCUUGUCUGGAGGCAGCCCAGGGUGGCCUGCACGCUCUCCGUCGCUCACAGCCUUCUGGAACUUCAUGAGAAUCGUGAUUUCGGAUGACAUCGGUAAGAUCACGUCGAGCACAAUCCCCUUCUGAGAGUGACUGGAACGCAGAUUUCACGGAAGGCUCUCGGUGACAGCAGGAGAGAGUGCAGAUGGCCUAGGAGGGGAGGAAGACCCCUAGGACCCGAAGCAGCGAAUGAGGAGUCGCUGAAGCUUUUACGGCAAGUGCGGAGUAAACAAAACUGCAUGUUUCAGAUGGAAAAUGUGGCAGAGACAUUAGGAGUGUGUAGAAAGUGUGUGGCAGCCGUCGAUGCCCGUAAGAAACCCGGUGCUUCAGCCACGGGGCGAGGGCGACCUCGCUCGGCGUCAUGGAAGCUCUAAGGGCUAUUUCCCAGGAAAGCUGUAGCAAAUGAGGGGAAUUGGUGGUGGGAAAUACAGUGUUCAUUUAUUCCCUCCCGGAAAAUACAGGUUCCAGGAUGGACUGUUCUGAAAAUGGAAAAGCGAUAUAAGAUAGGUAGGCGUUCCCUCUCAGCUCAGUGGUAAUGAACCCGACUAGGAUCCCUGAGGUUGUGGGUUCCAUCCCUGGCCUCACUCAUUGGGUUAAGGAUCCGGUGUUACCAUGAGCUGUGGUGUAGGUCGCAGAGGUGGCUCAGAGUUGCUGUGGCUGUGGCGUAGGCCAGCAGCUGUAGCUCUGAUUCAACCCCUAGCCUGGGAACAUCCAUAUGCCUCGGAUGCAACCCUAAAAAAAAAAAAAAAGAUAGGUAGCAAGGACCUACUGUUCAGCACGGGGUAAUCUACUCAAUACUGUGUAGUAAUCUACAUGGGGAAAGAAUCUGAAAAGGAACAAUACGUGUAUAUGUAUAGCUGAUUUACUUUGCUGUACCCUGAAACGAACACAACUUUCUAAGCCAA